rnacentral:rRNA from 1 species
UCCGGUGGAAAUGACGGGAAGGACACACCCGUUCCCAUACCGAACACGGAAGUUAAGCUUCCCGGUGCCGAUGAUACCUGGAUGGUAACGCCCCGGAAAAGCAGGUCUCUGCCGGAU